AUUGAACGCUGGCGGCAGGCUUAACACAUGCAAGUCGAACGAGUGGCGGACGGGUGAGUAAUGUCUGGGAAACUGCCUGAUGGAGGGGGAUAACUAGUGGAAAAGGUAGGCAAUACCGCAUACCAUCGGAUGGGCCCAGAUGGGAUGGGCUAGUGGGUGGGGGAAUGGCCUACCAGGGCGACGGUCCGUCACUGGUCUGAGAGGAAGAACAGUCACACUGGAACGGAGACACGGUCCAGACUCCUAGGGGAGGCAGCAGUGGGGAAUAUUGGACAAUGGGCGAAAGCCUGAGCCAGCCAUGCCGCGUGUGUGAAGAAGGUCUUCGGAUUGUAAAGCACUUUAAGUGGGGAGGCGUUACCAACAGAAAAAGCAACGGCUAACUACGUGCCAGCAGCCGCGGUAAUUC
rnacentral:rRNA from 1 species